AACGCGAAGAACCUUACCCAGACUUGACAUGGUGUGGACCGGUACAGAAAUGUACCUUCUCGUAUGAGCCGCAUCACAGGUGCUGCAUGGCUGUCGUCAGCUCGUGCCGUGAGGUGUUGGGUUAAGUCCCGCAACGAGCGCAACCCUCGUCACUAGUUGCCAACAUUUCGGAUGGGAACUCUAGUGAGACUGCCUGGGUUAACCAGGAGGAAGGUGAGGAUGACGUCAAGUCAGCAUGGCCCUUAUGUCUGGGGCUACACACGUGCUACAAUGGCCGGUACAAUAGGCAGCGAAACCGAAAGGUGAAGCAAAUCCAAAAAGCCGGUCCCAGUUCGGAUUGUAGUCUGCAACUCGGCUACAUGAAGUCGGAAUUGCUAGUAAUGGCGAGUCAGCAAUAUCGCCGUGAAUACGUUCCCGGGCCUUGUACACACCGCUCGUC
rnacentral:rRNA from 1 species